rnacentral:lncRNA from 1 species
ACUAUUAUUGGCGGUAGAGUUGGUGGCUUGGGCGUUGGCGGUGGUCUCACUACUCUUGGGGGUAGAGUUGGUGUCUUGUGUUUUGGUGGUGGAGGUGGCUUAACAGGAGUUGGUGGCUUGUAUUCUGGGGGUGGUUUCUCCACCGGAGGUGGCUUAUAAACUGGAGUUGGUGGCUUGUAUUCUGGGGGUGGCUUCUCCACUGGUGGUGGCCUGUAAACAGGGGUUGGUGGCUUAUAUUCUGGGGGAGGCUUCUCCACUGGAGGCGACUUAUAAACAGGGGUUGGUGGCUUGUAUUCCGGGGGUGGCUUCUCUACGGGAGGUGGCCUGUAAACAGGGGUUGGUGGCUUCUCCACCGGAGGUGGCUUAUAAACGGGGGUUGGUGGCUUGUAUUCUGGGGGUGGUUUCCCCAGUGGUGGAGACUUGUAAACAGGAAGAGGUGGUUUGUGCUCAUAUGGGGGUGGCUUGUGGUCAUUAGCAAGUGAGGGAGUGGUGAGGACCACCAAUCCAAGGAACAACACGAGUGAGCAAGCAGAAGACAUGUUUGGGCUCUGGUGAUGCACAAGUAGAAGAAAUGGGAACCAUUUAUAAUGCUUCGAGACCUUGGUUAGCACCAAAAUAUGUCAAAAUCUUGAUUACUUCAUUUCAUACAUAGAUUUAAAAUUAUUUCAAUCAACCAUGAUCCUUAAUUUUCUGGGUGGUCCAUAAAUGUAAUGGGGUCAAUUUGGGACCUAACAAGCUGAGAAGUUUGACAAUGCUGCAAGGCUUCAUCCGAAAGUCCGGGGAAGAAUAUUAGGAGUUACACUCCGUUUCCUUUUUUGGGUGCAUUUUUCUCCUUUAACAUUCUAUUCCCUUUUACAUUAGCAUUUGAUCUUAGCUCAUUUCAAGUACAAGUUUCUUGAACCCUAUACCAUUGUCAAAGUUGAGUAACCAUCUCUACUUUGCUCAAGAAACAUAAAAGACAAUGACAAUAAAGAAAAAGGAGAGAGACCAUACGUGACUUGGUUUAUAGGUGGCUUUGUGUUGACAUUUGAGUAUGGAAGCCGACAUGCAUCUUAGCUUCGAUUUUAAUUAAAUUUGUACAUUAGUGUCUGUGUCAUUCAUUUUGGUAUAAAAGGUCUCUUGAUUUCGUAAGUUUGGUAAGAACCGUUGAAAAUAGCAGUAGCAGCACAUGGUCCACUUUCUUUCACAAAAUAAUUUUAAAAGUUUAGAAGCAUAGGAGGUAACAUUAGUGGCCUUGUGGCUCAGCCACGAGUACUAUGUGGUGCUCGAGAAAUUGAGUUUAAUUUCCUUCCGAUAGUUCAUGAUAAGGUCCGUCACUGUCCUGAGACAGAUUGCGUUUUUUCUUUUUUCCUUUUUUAGUGUUUUAUUGACUAGCUAGGUGUGACUUUUCCUACUUUAAGGCACGAGGCAGAAAAGAAACUGGGAUUUAGUGCUUAAGAAGGCAAAUUUAAUUCGAUUUGGAUCUAAAAUUUGCCAGCAACAUGAGAUUUUCCAGCCUAUCGUUGCUCCACAUAUAGACAAGGCACUUGUAGAAGUGGCUUGUUUGUAGCCAUUCCCGAUAUUUGGACUCACUUGAUUCACCGGACACUUUGAUAAAAUUUAAUAUUUAUUAUUUAAUAAUUUAAAUUGAUUUAAAAUUAAAUUAUACCGAAGUUGUGAUUUAAAAAUUAUUAUUUAAUUCUUACUUUUAAAUAUGAAGAUUAUUUGAUAAAAAUAAUUUAAAAUUUAUUAUAAAUUAUCAAAUUAACAUAUUUAUCCUUAUAAAUUAUAAUUAAAACAGAAAAGGUCAAAUGAUUUGAGUAUCCAUAGAUGUGGUAAAAUAAUAAAAAAGAUUAUAAAAACAAUUAUGAUAAAUAAAGAUAAAAAGUAAAAUGAAUAUGUGAAUUUAAAGAAUAAAUUAAUUAUUUUUAUUUAUUACUUAAAAUUAUUUUUGACUUUAAAUUAUAUUAUUAAAUUAUUUUACCAAACAUACUUAAUUUAGUUAAUAAUUUAAAUUUAAUUUAAGUUAUUAAAUUGAUUCACCAAAUACCCACUUAAUCAAAGACUGAAGUAUACAUUAUUUGGCCAAAUGCAGCUAUUGAAAUUUAACUUUUUCCAAACUUAUUCAUUUUGUGGAAAUAUUUUUAGAAAUGAUUUUAAAAAUGCACUAUUCUGUGUGUUGAUUUUAUAUUUUGGCAUUAAUCCAACAUAGAAAACGGUUCUUAUUUUCGCUGUUAAAUAGGUACCAGAUCCUUAAUUAGUGCCGUGAAUCCGGCAGCUUCCAAUGAGUAAUUUGGACUUGGGUAUUGACAAUGUGUGGCCAUGCUUCUACUAUUUUAUUAUUCUUGAAACAUAUAUGAUAUAUUGGACUUUAUACAGGGAAAAAAAAAAAAAAAAGUCUUCACCAAAAAUGAUUCCUCCUAAAAAAUAGACUCCACAAACUAGGUUUAACAGGAAAAUGAUUCUAAUCUAGUAGUUUCCAGCCACAUGAGCAUUUACGUAACAAUAGUAUAGUUGAUAACGACUUUUAUUUUAUUUAUUUUUAAAUAGUUAAAGGGAUAAUUUUUGAGCUUAAAUUUUAUUUUUUUAUUUAGAAACAUUUUACUUUAUUUUUUAAUCAUAAUUCUAUUAUAUUAAUGUUUUAUUUUCUAUUUUUUAAUAUAUAAGGAGAUACUAAAUUUAUGUGAUUAUUUUUUAAAAAUUUAGUAUAUGAAAUUAAAUAAUUGGAUAUAUAUACAUAUAUCAUAUAAUGUUUUUUAAGUGUGAUUUUUGAACUUUUUAGUCAUUUUAUAAGUUUAAGCUUUUGAUUUUUUUUUUUAAACUUUGGUAUUUUUUAUUUUAUAUAAAACUAUUUUGAUUUAAUUUUAUUAAAAAAUAUUGGUAUUAUAAAUUAUUGUAUUAAUUAUUUUUUUAUAUUAUAAUGUAACUGGUAUAUACUAAAAAAUGUAUGCAAGUUCAAUUUAAGUUUCAAAUUAAAAAAUUUCAUUUAAAUAUUUAAUAACUUGUUCAUAAUAAAAAAUUAAACAACAUAAUACAAAUGAAAAGAAACAUAAAAGAAAAAGGAAAAAAUGGUCCUCUCUGUGUGUCACAUUACUAGGUCAUCCUCUUUUUCUAUGACCCUUACAAUAGAAUGGCAUAUUUGUCAAAUCUACUUAUGAAAGUUGGAAUGUUUCUACAUGUGUAGGGUCCAUUGGAACUAAUGGAGGAAAGGCUUAACGUCUAUGUAAAUCACAACGUUGCCUAGGUGGGCAUAGAUCUAGUUGUGUAACAUGAGAUGGUGUGAGAGUACAAUAUAUGCAUUGUAGUCUCUAUGGGAAGAGAGAUAGGUAAUGGUAGGGUGGUAGACGGUAGGGUGAUCUCUAAUAUAAUGACAUUUGAUGUGGUGGCUUCUAAGAGAGGAGAUAUAAGAGAUGGUAGAAUGACAUUUGGUGUAAUGGUCUCUAGUGCAAUGACAUGUGAUAUGGUGACCUAUAAAGAAGAGAUAUAGGUGAUGGUGAAGUGGUAUGUGGUGUAGUGACCUUUGAGAUAGAAAAUAGAGGUAAUGGUAGGUUGGCAGGUGGAGUGGUCUUUGGUGUAGUGACAUCAAUUAUAAAUGUCUCCAAGGGAGGAAAUAAAGGUGAUGGUAGGUAGUAAAUGUUGAGGUGGUCUUUGAUAUGUUAUGCUCUAAGAGAGAAGGUAUAGGUAAUGAUAAUAGGGAAUUUGACAUAGUGGUGUUGGAAAUAAAAAGUGAAAGUGACCGUAGAGGUGAAAGGGCAAGUGUAAAAGCCUCAAGUACGAAUGGAGUAAUUAAUGUGGAUGGUGCUAACAUAGUCUUAGGUGGAUACACAAAUAGUCAUAGUCAUCAACUAGCUUGCCCACCAUCUGUCUUUCUGCUAGUGAUAGGUUACAUCUUAAUAGUAAUGGCCAACAUAAGUGGUGUGGAUCCGAUUUUUUUACGUGUGUCCCCACUCAAUCGACAAGACUUAUUUUUUAUUAGUGAAAAAUUAAUUUUGGAAAAGUUGGAGUCACCACUUAUUUUAUUUUAUUUUAAAAAGGAAAGUAAAACAAGAAAGAGAACUCUAAAGAAGUGACUUCAUAGUUUUGGAAAAGUUAGUCUUAAAAAAUCCAAGUCUUGGUCCGGAGAUCAGGUUACUUAUUGGGAAGAUACCUCUAAGAGGUAAUACCCCUCUAAACCCUAAAGAAGUCUCUAAUGACUAAGUUGAGGAGAAUGUGGUAAUUAAUUAAUUGAUUGAGGGUACCUAGGUAGACUAAGGUGAUUUCAGAAUUAACAUACCAAGCUAGAAAGUCCAAUCAUGAUCAUAAAAGAGAGUCAAAGUAUGUACCUGAACUGCUUCUCAAACGCUAUCAUAAAACAUCAAAGUUAGUAUAGAAAUAUAACACAUAAUAUUUGUUUUAUCCAAGCAAAUAAAGCAUACAUCUAAGCACCCAAGAAUCACAUCAAGUAUGGAUAUAGUCAUCAAUAGCAUACGUGUCCAUAGAACUAUCGAAAGUAAAUGUGGAGGAGCGUAUCUGGACAACAUAGAUAACUUAUAAUGUGCUUCCACAAGACAUGGGGGUUAGAUAAAAGUUAUAAUAAUAAUUAGUAAAUGAAAGAAUUCUAGCAUGUUUGGUAUCUAAAUAACAUAGCAAAAAUGAACAAGAGUACACGAAAACAUCAAUUAUCACACGAGUCAUAUUGGCUAGUAUUUAAUCAAUAAACCAACAAUAAAUGACUAUAAACAUAUAAAAUGACAUAUUCAAAGAGACCCAAACAUAAAGAGCCUAGAACACAAGCUUACACUAAAUUUAGAAAACUAAAACAUGGAAUUUUAAAAGCAUAAAUUAGCAAACAAAUUGAUGGAAACUAAAUUUAGAUAACUUAAGAAUAUUUUUCUUAUCCUUCAAUUUAAAUCAGUAAGCCAACAAUAAAAAAUUAUAGAAACAUGGAAUAUCAAGAUCAAUGGGAUACCUAAACUAUAAUUUUUAAAAGAAAAUAAACUAAGCAUAAUAUCUACAAAGCAACUAAACUAACAUUUUUUUAAAAAUAAAUUAAACAUGACAUUAAUGGAGUAACCAAACUAAAUUAAAGUAAACUAAAAACAUUUAUGAAUUUUCAAACAUGGAAUCAGCUUUCUUAGUAAAUUAAAAUUAUUAAAAUAAAAUCUAAGCUUAAAAAUGAAUUAAAUACUAACUAAAGCAAAUCUAAAACCAAAUAUUUAACACAUAGGAUCAAUUAUAUUAACAAACUAAAAUUUUAUAAGAACACUUAAACCUAAAGUUGAAUUAAAAACUAACCAAUUUUUAAAACUAGAUCUUUAACCCAUAGGAUCAAUUAUAUUAACAAAUAAAUAAUAAAUAAUAAAUAAAUAAAACUCAAACCUAAAGAUGAACUAGAAAUGUACCAAAGUAAAUUCAAAACAAGAUCUUUAACACAUUAGAUCAAUUAUAUUGACUAACUAAAAAAAAAAAAAAAAAACACUCAAACCUGAAACGAUGUAUUAGAAACUAACCAAAGCAAAUUUAAAAUAGAGUCUUUAACACAUAGGAUCAAUUAUAAUCACUAACUUAAAUUACAAUUUUUGAAACAUGAACUAAUUAGUGUUGGAUUAAUUAAACUAAUUAACUAAAAAAAACUAUAAACUAGAAUACGGUGAAUCAAGAAUUCAAAUCAACAAACAUAAAAUAUGGGUACAAUGAAAUGAAAAUCUAUUAAACUAAUAAGACGGAAAUAUGACAAACUCAUGAACCCACAUUUUGAUCAACUAGGAAAUAGAAAUUAAUAGACCUGUAGCAUGGAUACAAUGAAAUGAGAUCAGUUAAAUUUAUUUGCCGAAAUUCUAAAAAACACAUACACUCAAAUAAGAUCUAAAUCUAAGACCAAGCAAAACUCAAACUUUCUCAAUCUAAUGCAAUGAAUCAAAACUAAAAUUAAAUAGAAAUCAAACCAUUUUUUUUUUAUCUAAUAUAAUAAAUCAAAGCUAAAACUAAACAAAAUCGAAUUUUCUUAAUUUAAUAUGAUGAGUCAAAGCUAAAAUUGAACAAAGUUCAAACCUUUAUAUAAUGGAUCAAAGUUAAAUCUAAAUGAAAUCCAUACUUCCACAAUUUGAUAUAACAAAUCAAAAAUAAAACUAGAUAAAAAAAAAGUCAAAGCCUUUCAACUUGACAUAGUGAAUCCAAACUGAAACGAAACAAAAUUUUAACUUUUCCAAUGAAACCCAAUAUAGAAAAAAUUAGCUUACCUUCUUUAGAAUAUAUGUAUGGGCCAUAAAGAAGUCACCUUGGUGCAUGUGUUCCUCACUUUGACGCCAAUGGACGACUUUCUAUGGUAGCAAAUGGAGAUCCUUUUUGGUGGUAACUUGCGUGUGGAAACCUAUGGUACAACCAAUGUCAUCUUUUAUUGUGCGUGUGGACCAAUUUCUUCUCGAGAACUCAUGUGUGUUGUGCUCAAAAUAUGUUGCCUGUGAGAAUCUAUUGGUAUACCCCACAUAUGGUUUCCUUGAGAGAAUCUGUGGUUGUGUGUGGGCGUUUUCUUCAUGACAGCAUGUGGAUGUUCCCAUCUAUGGUAGAUUGGUUGUGAUGCUUUAGUGCAUGGUCUCCAUAGGAAUAGUGUGUUAUGGAAAUUUGGUUUUUUUAUUGGUGCAUGUUGUCUAGACUUUCCCAUAUGCGUGGACUGUGUGUUCAUGCUUUUCUUUUCGGAUGGUCGCCUGUGUUAAUGUGUGGCGGUGUCUACAAUGAAAGAUACAACCCUUUCUCUCCUUCUGCGUGAUAGAAAAGUCAAUCCCCCAUGGUGCGACUAUGUUCCCUCGUCCUUUUUGAAAAAUUUUGGUGUUUUCCCCCCAAAAAAUCCCCUCCAAAAAUCUAAUUAUAAAUGUCUGCUUUGGCCUAAUGUGUGUGCUACUUUUUUUUUCCUUCUUUUUAUGGUUGUGCGUGCUUUUCUUGAUACGUGGCUUAUUUCUUAAGGAUAUGAUUCGCUCCCAAUUGGUGUCUCAGCUGAUUCAUGUCCUUUCAAUGGUCCCUGACAGUGGUGCCAUUUGAUUCGUGUCCAGCUGGUGUCCCUUGAUUGUGGUCCUCAGAAGGGAGUAAUCAAUAAAAUUUAUAACCUAUUACACCAUGUAUUAGGAUAGCCUUAGCUAGCAUAGCAUAGUGGCUCUAGGGUCGUUUAUUGGGAUGAGUUUUCACUUCACAAUUGAUAUUAAUUCAAGAGCUGAAUUGGUGCCUUUUCAUUUCAAGGUUAGCUUUAAAAGAAAACAUAAUCUUUGGUGGAAAAAGGUUUGGUUUUAAACUAACCAAAAAUAGUAACUGAUUUUACUUACAAAGAAAAGUGUUCUUUGGAGUUUAGAUCACUAGGCUCAGGUUCCUCAUACAAAAAGGAGAGUUCCGAUCAUUUGUUUCUUUUCCUCGCAUUAGAGAAUUAACAUAUAGUUAAUUCUCUAACCGGUGCGGUACAUAUGCUUCCCAUUAAUGGGUUCAAACACUAAAUACCUCUCACUGAUGCACCUUGCAAUGGCUCGUGCCUCUCACCUAGCAUUUAUCAUUCAAGGUGAUCUUUAACCUUGGAUUACCCAUCAAAAGCUCGCAAGAGAUAACUAAAGGAUGUCUCCUUAGAGUCCAAAAGCUUACCAAGUGUUGGUUAUUCUAGAAAAUCCUACCUUCAAACCACCUCCCAAAGGCUCGCAAGAGAUAAACAAGUGCAUCUCAAUGGAUGAAGAUCACUUGCCUUACCAAGUUUUGGCCCAGAUGAUUUAAUGACAUUUUAAGUUAACUAAAAAGAUAAAAACCAUUAACGGGUCACACUUUCUCUUCAUUAAAAACUAAAACAACAAAACUUCCAAUUUAUGCAUGAGGAAACUUACCUGGCUUUCUUCACUUCAAGAGAUGAAGAGCCUAGCCACUCAUCAUUUGAGGAAAAAUCCUCAGAGUUUGAUUUGCUAGAAAUAAAAAUAAUGAGAAAACAAAAAUAUAUAUAUGAAAAACAGAGCAAGUUCUCUGUAAUAUAUUUUUCUUCCUUAUACAAAAGGUUGUCUCUAAGAACAAGUUCCCGAGAUCUAUCUGAUUGUAAAUAAAAUUACAACUAUAUAUAAGAGGUUAUUCACCCCUUUGUUCUUUCUUAAAGACUAAGGAAUCCUAUGAUAGGUGGGUUACAAGGAGAGUUUGGGGAUUUAGACAUCAAAUAUCUAAAGCAAAAUAUCUCAAGAUGUUAGUCGGAAAUAUCAGGAAGCUUCAGGAGAACACCGCGACACUGUAUACUGAGAGAAAAACUCUCCGGGUAAGCUCUAUCAAAGGAUCCAGACAUGUCUGACUGGGAAAGUUGAAACGUCCUUCUCUCCCAUCCGGAUGUGAGAUAUCCGGAGAAAGUGAAAUGUCGGUCGGACAGAAUUCUUUCCCCGGGUGGAAUGAGUUGUGUUGCGCGUCGCAAGGGGGACCGUCUGCGUGUACAAGUUGUAGGGACCCCUCUCCCGGAUGACACCGAGCGCGUAAGGCUAUCCGGAUCAACUCCAUUCGGAUUCCCCAAGAGGACAUGUGGCGUGCUCCCCUAUCAGGACUCCCUUAGGGAGAAGCACACGACACUCGUGAACAUCAUACCCGGACGAUAGCAUGUCCUAUCCGGAUGUGUUGUCCGGAUCAUUGACUAAAGUGAGCAAGCCUUGCUACGUCAUUCGGACAGCUUGCCACAUACCAUGUUCCGUCGCCAUCUGAUGGUGUGUCCGAACGCCUUGUCCGGACAUCUUUUGCUCCUUGCAUUCCGGAUUUGCUUAUGACAAAGGACUUCAAAGCUUCGGUUCUUCAUGUUUCUGAGCUUUCCAUUGCUUUGCCAUGGAUUCCAAAGAACUCUCCUUAAUCACGGAUUGCUUUGGUGAUCAAAAAGUUAUCAAAACACAAAAACUUAACAUAGUUUGAUUAGAAUUGAUUGCAAGGGUUCUUAAUAUGUUAAUUGGGUUAAAAGGUGAUAACUACUACUCAAAAGUGUUUAUAAGAAUUAAUUACAAGCUAUGAAAUAACACUUUUUGAGUAGUAAUCAGGAUACAUCCUAGUUUUUCAUGGAAUUGAUAGUGGGUUGUUGUGCAUGAAUGCCACCAUUUCAACUAUGCUGUUGUUAUUUUUAAAAAAAAUAUGGAUUAUGCGCGAGUGGCAAUUCUCCACUAUGGAAAGUGGAUUGCUCCUUCAACCCAUGCAUGGCUACGUAUUCCUAUGUCUUUCUACUUGUGUUUGAUCCUCCAAAAAAAAUUUCGGUUUAGUGCUAGUAGAUUUUAAGUGGUGGAUCCCCAUUUUUUGAAAAUGAAGUGGCAGCCUCCCAUUUCAAGACAAAAUGGUAGCCUGCCUUUAAUCUUUGGAGAAAAAUCUGUGCAUGACCUUUUUUUUUCCCAAAAAAUCCGUGCAUGGUGUCCUUUAAUAUUUGGAGAAAAAUCUAUGUUGGAUCUUUUCUUUUCUAGAAACAUUUGUGUGGUCUUUUUUGUUAGCCCAAGGGUUCUUCUAAUCAAGUUUUGAUGAUAACAAACCAUGGUUAAGUGACUAAUUGGUUUAAUGAUUAAGAAUCUCAAACAUAAAAUCGAAAAUUCAUCAAAGGACCAAAUGGAUACAAGAUCGAGACGCUUGGAAGACUUGUAAUCAUAGGAAACUAAUGUAAGAUGAAUGCAUGAGUGCACUUAGGAUUUUCACACGUUUCAUGCAACUUAGAAAACCCAGUUUAUUCUUUAAAACUUCAUCCCAGUUUAUUCUUUUUAUGGUUGUGUGUGCUUUCCUUGAUACGUGGCUUAUUUAUUAAGGAUACAUCCCAGUUUUUCAUGGAAUUGACAGUGGGUUGUUGUGUGUGAAUGCCACCAUUUCAACUGUGCUGUUGUUAUUUAAAAAAAAAAAAAAUGGAUUGUGCGCGAGUGGCAAUUCUCCACUAUGGAAAGUGGAUUGCUCCUUCAACCCAUGCAUGGCUACGUAUUCCUAUGUCUUUCUGCUUGUGUGUGAUCCUCCAAAAAAAAUUUUGGUUUAGUGCUAGUAGAUUUUAAGUGGUGGAUCCCCUUUUUUUGAAAACUAAGUGGCAGCCUCCCAUUUCAAAACGAAGUGGUAGCCUGCCUUUAGUCUUUGGAGAAAAAUCUGUGCAUGACUUUUUUUUUCCCAAAAAAUCCAUGCAUGGUGUCCUUUAAUAUUUGGAGAAAAAUCUAUGUGGGAUCUUUUAUUUUCUAGAAAAAUUUGUGUGGUCUUUUUUGUUAGCCCAAGGGUUCUCCUAAUCAGGUUUUGAUGAUAACAAAUCAUGGUUAAGUGACUAAUUGGUUUAAUGAUUAAGAAUCUCAAACAUAAACUCGAAAAUUCAUCAAAUGACCAAAUGGAUACAAGAUCGAGACGCUUGGAAGACUUGUGAUCAUAGGAAACUAAUGUAAGAUGAAUGCAUGAGUGCACUUAGGAUUUUCACACGUUUCAUGCAAUUUAGAAAACCCAGUUUAUUCUUUAAAACUUCAAUUUCAUUAAAACCCGAGUUUUUAACUAAUGUACCUUAGGCAAAAUGUUUUAUAAUUGGCUUAAUAAUUCACCUAAAUACAUUUUCUAAGUGUUAGAAAAGAAAGGAAUUAAAAAAAGGUUUUCGGGGCAAAAAAGGCUCAACCGGUCGAGGCUAUGGUCAACCGGCUCAACCGGUUGAGGAACCAAUCGAUCGGUUGUGCUUGUCCGAUCGAAGACCAAUCGAGGGAUGCCAAAAAAUUUCUCUCUCUCCUAGUGGCCUUCUCUUCCCGGUCGAGGUUCGGUCUAGGCAACGGUAACAUGUCAAGCAUUAAAUGCUCCGACGACUAGUGAAUCGGUCGACCCCUAGCCCGAUCGGACGAGGUUGCCUUUUGCUGUUUUUGACUCCCGAGCUUAGAAACCUAUAAAUUGAGAGCUCCACUUCAUUUAUUGAUAAAAGAGAACACUUGCAUUCAAUAGUCUACCUACCUUUUCUUGAUCAAAAAGCUCUCAUUUCCUUCAUAGUGCAUUAAAUCAUCACUUGCAUAUCCUUUAGUGCACUAUUGUGUGUCAUCCUAGCUUUGUUUUGUAUUUGAGCUAUCCUUAAGCUAGGUUGAGGGAUUAUUUCUUAUAAAAAUCUGAGUGUUAAAGCCUUCAAGAGAUUUGAAUCUUGAAGAGAUUGUGUAAGAGCCCAUUGGAGCCGGAGUCCAAGUGUAAGAAGAUUGGAAGCUUGGUUGAAGCUUCAAGUUAGUGGAACCCUCACUCGGUUAGGAGGUUGAGGAGAGUGGACGUAGGUAAGGAAGUGUCGAACCAUUAUAAACCCGAGUUUGAAUUCUCUAACUCUAUCUCUUUAUUUUGCUUAUAUUGUGUUUGAAUUUGUUGUGAUUGAAAAGAUUUUAAAAACCUAAUUCACCCUCCCCCCUUUUGGGUUUUUUUUUCUUAAUUAAGCAUAACCUUUGUUUUCUAAUUUUCUUUUUAGGAAAAUCCAUGCGUGGUAUGUCCAAACUCUCCAAGUGGCAGUCUGCCUUCUUCUAAAAAAUUUGUUUCUAUUUCUUUAUUCGACUACCUUCCAUGUCUUCCUAAUGAGUGCUUGUGCUCAAUGGUCAAUCCCUGGUGGUUGCCUCCUUUUCCCAUAUAUACGUGUUGCAAAAUCAACAUCCCACUAUAUGUGGGUUGCCUCUAUGGCAAGUUCACAUUUCCCACAUGAAACCUAUGAGUUUCCACCAAAAAUUGCCAUGAAAAAGUCUUUAUAUGCAUCUCAUGCAAUAAAAAGUCAAGCCAAUACUCAUCUUAUCUCGAAAAAUAAGUAACCAAAAUCAAGAUCAUGCCUAAGUGAACUAUGCCAAAAGAAGUGUCCAAGUGACCUAUUAUGAAAAAAGUGCCUAAGUGACCUAAGGUGAAUGUGUGUAAGCUGGAAGGUGUCUAGGAUGUUUAGGACAAUGCCUAAGCCUAAAAUAGGGUUGCCAAGGGUCACAAUGGGGUUAGAUAAAUCUCUCAAUCAGAGUCUCCAAGGUGGCUCAUAAAAGAUAAGCUACACGAGUAAUGAUGGGCCACCAGGGAAUUAUUGUAAAGCACCAAACGAACACAUAAUAGGACAUGUGUUAGAAUGAAAAAAUGGAGGGUUUACAAGUGGUCUCAUGGAUGAGCUUGAUAAUUUAAAUGACUCACAUAAUGAACGUAUGUGAUGUUUCUCUCCAAUAACAAGCAAAACAUCACUAGCAAUAUGAUGAAUGUCUCCUAAAUCACUUGAAGUAGUCCUAGCAAAUCAAUUAGAAAAAUCACACAUAUUGCUCUAAUGUAAUAUUAUAUACAUCUGUCAAUGAAUGGGAGAACUAAUGACACAACCAUCAUGUUGAUAUCUCGAACCCUCUAAUCUCAUAUGUAGGUGGGAUCACACUUAGAAACUCAUAACACAGUAAUGACCAAUCUAAGUCAAAAUGUGUUGGUGAUCGGAGGCCCAUGAAUAUGAAGUUCUAGGAUGAUAAUGACAUCUUAUAAAGUAAUGAUCAUCUCCUUAAUAGAUAGGUGAAAUGUGUGUGUCUUAGGACACCAUCUCUCAACAAGACUUGUGAUCAAUCCCCAGUCUAGUGUAACAUGCCUAUUAUGACAUCCAUCGUAAAAUCUAGACUAGAUAAUAUAAGGACAAAUGUGAGGGUUCAUCUCCCUUUCCCACAUAAAUUUAAAAAAUUAUUAUUGACAAGUUAAGACCAAACUAAGUUGCAAAAUAUAAAUAAGUCCAUUAGAUAACAAAUUUAUGUUUUCUCAUUUUCUCAUUUUUAAAGAGAUAUUAUGUGCUUCCAUGUACAUACAUGCUAAAGUCAAUUAUACGAGACUUAUAUCCAUCUUGUAGAACCAAAUCGAACCUAUCUAAUAGAUCCAGAUUAGAAGUAUGUCCUCUAUACUCCAUAUUUAUAACACAUUUAUAAAGAUAAAUGCUAAAAAAAUGUUAAAGAUAUAAAUUUAAUGAACCAUACUUUAUGAUUUUAAUUCUCAAUUAUUGUUCAUAUUUAUAAGAGAAAAGUUAAAAAAAUUGAUAGAGUUUUCCCUCUAUCAUGGACAUUAUCCCAAAUAAAAAUAAAUUGAUUAUGCAAAUUACAUUAAUAUUUGUAACCAAAUGAUCAAUAACUAUCUUGUAUCAAUUUAGUAAAUAAAUUUAAGUAUAUCUUUUCAUUUAUGACUAACAAAUAACUCAUACUUGUCCAAUAAAAGCCACACCUAAUUUCUAAAAUUUUGUCUUCACCUCAAGUGAGUGUUACAUUGAGAAAGAAAAAAUAUGAAAGAAAAAAUGAACACCUUUUUCUUUUAAUAAAAAAAGGCCAUAACGAAACAUUAAAUCUCACUGUUACACCUAUCUUCAAUGGAAACAUGAGGAUGUGAAUGGUGGCGGUGAUAUUCUUUGCUUGAAGCUCAUAAACAAAUAUUCCUUACUAAGCCUAUGCCAUUUAGUAUUUCAAUAGUGGACCCCCCCCCCCCCCCCCCCCCCCUCCUUGCAUUUCAGAUUUAGCAAACUUAGAACCAAAUAACAAAGUGCAUUUGAACCCAUAAAGAAGUAAUGAGACUCUCCUAUAUUGGCAAUAGAAGAAAUUUUUGGAGGUAUAGGAGAUUCACGGAUGAAGAAGUUGGGCCCCAAUUGAGAUAAGACCCAAGAAAAGAUGGGGUAGAGAGGGAUGGUUGGAAAUUGUAAAGUAAGAUUUUCAAAAUGUAGUUGAUGACUAAGAUUUUGACAAUUUAAAAAAGGUUUAAAAAUGUAGUUAGCAAUCGGGGUUUUGUAACAUUUAAAAAAUAAAAUAAAAUCUCAGGCCACAUGGUAGCCCAUGUGAUUCAGAAGCUUGAGAAUUAUUUUAUAAGAAGACUUAAUUUGUGAUUUUUUUAUAACUAUAUUAUUUUUUUUCUUAACACACGAAAAAAAUUAUGAAAUAAGACAAUUUUCCUAAGAAAGCAUGUAAGUGACUCUUGGUUAUUUUAUUUAACUUCUUCUAGUUUGGAGAGGAUUAAUACCUUUGCUUUUACUCACUUGCUUGGAUAUGUACACGUUGUUCAUGUCACUUUUCAUUUAAUUUUCUGAUUAAGGGAAUUGGAACCGUACGUAACUGUCUUUAUUCCCUCUGAAACUUGGACUUGGAGUUGGACUUUCAAUCUCAUCAGUCGUGUUUCCAUAAAAAAGAAGAUGGAUUAACCAAUUUUCCUAUGCCUACUAAUCAUACACAAAACUCCACUUCCAAAUAAAAAGGAAUGGGAUAUCACUUGUUAAUAGUGGCUAAAGACUAUUAAUAACCAUGCAAAGAAAUGUCACAUUUUUUGUUCUACGCAAAUUUUAUUCAUCAACUACUAGAACCAUUUCAUACAAUAGUAGCUUUUCGAUCCUUUGAUAAAUGGACACUUGAUGUGAUAACACCAACUACACCUAUAUAUUCAAGCAAUCAUGCGUAUAUAAUAGUGGAUAUGGAUUACUUCUCUAAAUGGGCAAAAGUUUUGUCAUUCAAGGAAAGUGAACGAGGAAACACAAGUUUACUUUCAUCGGAACUAAUAUUAUAUAUUGAUAUGACUUCCCAUUAUUACUUACGAUGGAAUAUGCUUCCAUAAAAUGGCCUAGAUGAACAAACUAUCCAAGAAGUUUGGGAUCAAAUAAUAUAUAUAUAGUUCAUGUGUGAUUCUUUGGUUGACAACCUUGUUAAGGGGUGAGUGAAGCACUUUGGGCAUACCACAUACUACAUGCUAGACUUCCACCCAAGCUACCCUAUAUUCCUUAUGAACAAAGUAGAAGUUGUCAUCUCUCUUGAAUACCAAAUCCUUUCACCUAAUAAUGCUAUCUAAAAAGGUCUUAAAAAGGAUAAAAAUGCGCAUAUUUGAAUUUUUGAAUUAGGAGUGCUACUUAAAAAGAAGCUAGAUAUACAAUAAUAGAAUGUUAUCAAGCAUAUCUCUUCAAAGUUUUUGACCAAAAAAUAUAUGAUUUCUCAUUUUAGGUAGGAGACUUAGUACUCACUAUUCAAAAACCAAUUAUCAUUACUCAUAAAAACUAAUAGAAAGUUUGGGCCAAAGUAGGAUGGACCUUAUAUUAUGCAACAAUUAUGCCUAUAAAAUUGUUGCAAAAGAGGUUUUAGAAUCAAAUCAAUGAAUGAAAAAUUAUUAAAGCAUUACUAUGCUUGAAGGCUAGUCAUUUUCCCUUAAAGUGCAAUAUUAAGUUGCAUAGUACUAUGUGGAUCCGCAUUUUUCACAUGCGUUCCCACUCAUUGUCGAGACUCACUUUUUAGAAGUGAAAAAUUAGUUUUAUUAAAGUCGAAGUUGCCACUGGGGAUUUGAACCCUAACAAAAGGUUCAAUUUAAGGAUAAAAAUAUCGAUAAUCACAUAUAUAUAUAUUGGUACUUUGAUUUUAUGAAUAUAUUGAAGAAAUAUGGACAAAUAUUUUGACACAAAAUAUGUACAAAAUAAAAAUUAUAUAAAAAGUAAAAAUAAAUAUUUUAAAAUUAUUUUUUUAAAUAUAUAUAUAUAUAAUUUGACAUAUUUGAUAAUAAUAUAUAAGGGUCUCCAAAAAGCCCGUGGCCCGCUUUAGGCCCGGUCCGACCCGACAGGCUAAAGCCCGGCCCAAGCCCGCCGGGCCCAAGCUCGGCCCGAGCCCGUUUAUGGGUGGGCCGGGCCGCGAGCCCGUAGGCCUGCUCCUUUAAAAAAAAACUACAAAAAUAAAAAGUAUUAAAAAAAAUAUUCAUUUCAAAAUUUUAUUCAUUGAAUGUAUAAUUACAUUUGAAAAUGUGGGAAAAGUUUACAUCACUACAAAAUAAAUACAUCCCAACUAGGUUGGCACCUAUUUAUUUGUCAAUCAUCUGUAUUUUUCAACCACAAAAAAUAAAAAUAAAAAUAUAAUAUACAUUUAGUCAUUAUUUUCUGGCGGUGAUGGCGAACUAUCAUGCAUCCAUGAAGAUCUUGAUAAUUUUAAAGAUUCCAUAUCGGUAAGCAUCUUUGUUUCUCGAAUGGAAUCAUACAUCCUUUUAUCUGCUAUUUCCCAAUCUUUCACACAUAUCCCUGCUUUAAUAACAUCUGACGCUAAGUUGCAUCGUUUUUUACUAACUACUCUUCCACCUGCACUAAAAGCAGCUUCUGAUGCAACUGUACUCACAGGAACUGUUAGUACAUCACGAGCAAUUAUAGAAAGCACAGGAUAUUUGUGUUGAUGUGAUUUCCACCAUAUUAAAAUAUUAAAAUCUUCUUGAUCUUCAAAUGAAAUUAUAUCAGUAUUAAGAUAUUUAUCUAAAUCAGAUGUAUUAUUUGGAGAAUUAUUUGUUGUCUUUUUUCGACUUUUCAACAUUUCUAGAGCUCCUUUAUAAAAAGAUGAGGAGUUUGUAGAUGUAGGUGGUAAUUUAAUAGUAUUAAUAUCAUUACCAUAUUUUUCUUUAUAAUAGUUAUAUAAAUUAUAUAAUAAUGAAUUUAUUUCAUUUUUAAUUUCUUCAAUUUUUAUUUGGUCAUUAAAAUAAAUAAUUGUUAACCAUUCAUCCAAAGCUUCAAAUUUCAAUCUAGGGUCCACAAUUAAAGCAAUAUAAAAAAUUAAAGGUAUUUCUCCCCAAUAUUUUCUAAAUUUUUAUAUCAUUACAAAUAUUGUAUCAUUAAAUAUUUCAAAACUUAAAUAUUUUUGAAGUACAAUAAAAAUAUUAGUUAUUUGCGUAAUAACUCGAUUUGAAGUUGGAUAAUAUACACCACAAAAAAUGUUUGUUGAAGUAUCAAAAAUUUCAAAAAGAUCUCUUAAAACAUCCGCAAUAUGCCAAUCAUAAUCAUUUAAUGCAUAAAUAUCUGCUUCAUAAUCAUUGUUAAUUAAUUGUAUUUCAUAUAAUUCGACUACUUUUCUAUAUUUUGUAAUAUUUUCUAAAAGUUUAUAUGUGGAAUUCCAUCUAAUAGCCAUAUCCAAAUUUAUAUUUUUUCUUUUCAUAUUUAACAUUUUGCAACAAUCAAAAAAUAAUUCAUGUUUUGCUUGAAAACUAUUAAUACUAUAUGCAAUGCCUCUAAUUUUUUUCCAAUGUACUAUCAACAUUUUUUAAUCCAUCCUUUACAAUUAAAUUUAAAAUAUGUGCACAACAACGCACAUGAAAUAUUUUAGCAUGAUCUUCUUUUACUUGCCAAUAUCGUUUUAGUCUAUGUAUUGCUGCAUCAUUAUUAGCAGCAUUAUCUAAUGUUAUUGUCAAUAUUUUAUCACGAAUGCCUAAAUCUAUAAUUUCAUCAUUUAUUAAAGAUGCUAUAUUUUUACCACUAUGUGGAGUAUUUAUUAAUUUAAAUAAAAUUAUUCUUUUAUUUAAUUUCCAUUCAUUAUCAAUGUAGUGAACAAUUAUAUAUAAAAAACCAGUAUGAGUUAAAGAUGUCCAAAUGUCAGAUGUUAAACGAAUAUUUCCUUCAAAAUUUGCAAAAUUUUUUUUUAAAAUUUCUUUUUGUGUAUAAAUUUUUUUCAUAAUAUCUCUUUUAACUGUAUUUCCAGAUCAACCUUUAAAUUGAGGAUUAAUACCUCGUUGAAUUGUUCUUGCAAAAUCAUGAGUUUCCAUCAUGUUGAAAGGUUGUUCUGCUCUUAUUAUAUAAUCAAUCAUUUCUUCACAACAGUUAGAUUCAUCAUAAGAAAAUGUUUUUAAAUUUCCACUUUCAUUUUUACUUAAUUGCAUAUAAUUUCUAAUAUCUACAUUAUUUUUAGUUUUACAAUUUUCAUGAUGUCUUUUUAAAUGACUUGUAUCUGCAUUUGAGCCACCAGUAAGAAAUUUAUUACAAAUUUUACAUUUUGCUUUUAUUUUUUUUUUAUUAUUUUCUAAAAUUAUUUCUAUUCUAUCAAAAAAAUUCCAUAUAUUUAAAGUAAAUUUUUUGUUUGAUGAUAUUUCAUCACAUGGACUAGACGAAGAAGCACUUGUCAUAUUAUAAUUAUUGAUAAAAUAUUAUGCCAAAAAUAAUAAAGUAAUAAAUAUAAAAAAAAAUGUAACAAAAAAAAUAAAGUAGUAGGGGUGAAGUAUGUUACUCAAUUAGAGAACCUAUGCAGAAAUUCCUAGCAAAUUUGAACUCUUGGAGCCACCAAUGCUUGUUUUGCACCAUCAACAAUAUUGUAUAAUUUGAGGGAAAAAUAAAAGAAUUUAAAAUAUUGUAGAAUGUGAGAGAAAUAGAGAGAAUUUGAUGAAAAAAUGAAAAGGAAGAAAAUGUAUUUAUAGGAAGGUUAAAAAUAAUAAUAAUAAUAAUAAUAAUAAUAAUAAUAAUAAUAAUAAUAAUAAUAAUAAUAAUAAUUGGCCAUGUGACCGUUGGAGGCUUAGCUCCAACGGUCACAUGGGCUGGAGCUAGGCUCCAACAGUCACAUGACCGUUGGAGCCUUUAAUUUUUUUUUUUAAAAUAAUAUACUUUAUUUUUAUAUAUAUAUAACUAACUCAAUUAAUAAACAUAAAAAGAAUAUAGUUCAGUUGGUUAGAACCUUGAAGUUUAAACAUGAGGGGAGGGGUUUGAAUCCCUCCCUCUCCCUUAGGGGCUUUUUUAAAAGCCAUUUUGGCUUAUUUCAAAAAGCCUGUCGGCCCGACCCGCCCUGCAGCCCGCGGGCCUAGCAUUUUAGCAUGGCCUGGUCUGUUGACUAGUCAAAUGGCUCAUAGGCUCGGCCCGAACUGGGCCGCGGGCCUCUUAUUUACGGACCGGCCCGACCCGGCCCGCCCGUUGGAGACCCUUGAUAAUAUCUUCUAUAUUAAGUUACAUUAUAGUUUAUUUUACAAUAUUAUUAUGAUAAUAUGUCUAAUUUUAAAAUAUAUUUAAUAUUAAAAUUAUGAUCUAUUUUAAUUUAAAUGUAUUCAAUGAUAUCAAAUAAAUAAUAAUAUAUGUAUAAUUCUUUUAUUAUUUAUAUUUAUUAUUUUUAAUAAAUAUAUAGAUUAUAUAAAAAAGACCGGAUAUAUCUUUUCAAAUUUUGUAUCGCUCUCCAAGGAUAUUAGAUGUAUGGGAAUUUGUAUUGCUAUCUACGGAUACGUUGAUAUAUGGGUGAUUUAUCAGGAUAAUUAGAAAUUCUAAUUAUGUAAGCAGGUACGGAGUUCUGUGUCGGUGCGAUCUUGUCGACAACAGCUCCAAAUUGUGCAUCUUGCUCAUAGAGAGUAGCGGAAUGCACCAAUCGUAGGCUCAGAGUACCACUGAGUCGUCUGGCAGAGACCCAACUGAAGGUGCCUGUGUUGUUCCUGAUCUGAUCAGGCUUCAAACUACAAGGUGGAAUACUGGUUCCCCUAUAUCAGAAGCUGGAGAUACCCACCCCAUAUGCUCGUCUGGAUGUGCUCCUACCCUUUGAAGCCUUCUUCCGAGUCAAGUCCGAAUUGAUAAGGCUAGUGAGUUCCCAACCAACUGUACUCAGCAUGCUGCCAGGUGGAGACCCUCCAUAUUUGAUGGCUUCCUAAUAUUAAAAUGCUGACCACUGGUCUUCAUGUUCCACAGGCUUAAUUGUGUCCUUUGCUGAAAGAAUGGAUAGUGAUCCAUUUUAACACAUGAUUCACGCCGUCUUUGCCAUUCUUCAUGGUCUAGCCCUUUUAUAUAUAUGCUUCCUGAACUGUUGCUAUUAAUAAAAUGUGGUAUCUAUCCCGUACACCUUCCUGAUGGCCAGCGAAUGCAGAAGCUACAGAAACGGUUCCAUCUUUUGCUUCCGCCACUUUGGCAUCCUCCAUGAUGAGAUCGAAGGUGAAUAAUCAUAUUCUGGGGAUUUAUGUCCUGGAUAUUCUCAGUAAUGCCCAAUUUCCUGGUGCCGGCCUCAUUUCCAUGGGAACUGAUGGAUAACUUAAGGCUUCUACCAUCUGCGUGGUUCGCUUCUAACACAGGAAACUUCACGGCUAAAAGCAAGAUACCAAGAACAUCAAGGCUGUGACAAAAAUUAGUAUUUUUAACUUGUAGGAAUUUGAAAGGCAACCAACCAUCUAGCUCUGUUCUUAAAGCUCCCAUAGGAGGAUCAGAGGCUGGAUUGCUCAAGAUGAACUCAUCCAUUGUUGCACUUAAAAAGAAUUGGCAUGAAUUGUGGCCGCUCUAAUAGGUUCCCUAAACCAUCAUCCAAGUGGGCUUGCGGAAGGUAGCGAGUUUAAAACACCUAGGGCGAUGAACAGUGGACUGUGAUGCUCACAAAAGAGAAAAGGAAGAAUUCAAUAAUUCCUAAGAAUCCAUUUGCCUGUCAUCCAAAUUUUUAUAUUCUCUUCAGUCUGACGCGUUAUGCCAUAUAUUAAAAAUAGCGGCUUCUUCCAAGCCGAGACAGACUGUGCAAAGUUCGCAAGGCCAAUCAUCACCAUAAUCUGAAGUUGGCCUCCUCAAUCGCAGCUUGUAUCCGAAUGCUCACUUCACGGGAUGGAUUGUAAUGAAAACUAAUCUCAGUCCCAGCUAUGGCAGCAUCCUCACUUGACAGCAUUUUCUGCAUAUUCUAGAACAAAGCAAUAAACCCUCAAAGGCUCCUUCGGAUCAGAGUUAGAAGACUGUCCCUCAGGAACGUGAACACUAUGGUGGUUCUGAUAAGCAGUGAUAUUGCAUUAGAGCCUUUUGGAACAAGAGGAUCUUUUCAGGUGGAAACUGUAAACUGCUUCAUGUUGGGCUGCAACCUUUUCUUCAAGCAAUACUUUCUUUCUGUAUCACGACUUAUGUUGCUUCCGGAGCCAUCCCGUGUGGACUGCCCUUCAGUGAAAGAAUAUGUGUGUUGACAUGUUGGAUUGUAAUCUUUGUUCCACUCUAAUGGCUUUUGGUCCUCCUCUUUCUCUUUAUGACAGAGAACCAUUUAGUGAUCCAUCUCUAUAUUGUAGCAUUGCUGGUGCUUUGCAAUACUACACUCUCACCAAGCAUAACAUCUAUUUUUCCGUGACCAAAGUAUGUCGGUUUAUGCAUGCGCAAACUCUUAUUCAUUGGCAAGUUGUCAAGCGUAUCUCAUGAUUUCCCAAAGCCACAAGUUCUUAUGGUCUUUCUGUUCAAGCUUACAAUGAUCUAUCUUUUCUUGGUUAUACUGAUGUCGAUUGGGCUAGUUGCCCUGAUAACAAGCACAAUACUAGUGGGUACAACACUUUUCCUGGUCCUAAUCUCAUUUCAUGGGCAUUUUCAAAGCAGAAGGUUGUGUCUCACUCCAAUAACGAAUCUGAAUAUAGGGGACUCACUAAUUAAUGUUGUUGCCAAGGUCACUUGGAUUGAAUCUGUCUUACGUGAGUUGCGUGUUUCUCUACCCCAACCACCAAUUUUGUUGUGUGACAACAUUAGUGCUACACACUUGGACAAACCAUGUUGAAAUACACUAUCAUUUUAUCCAUGAAAGGCUUAUGCAUCACACACUCAAAAUUCAAUACACCUCUUCUAUAGACCAACUAGUCAAUGCUAUGACCAAAGCUCUUCCUUCAUCUCACUUGUACAAUCUUCAGUGCAAGCUGAUUGUUCUUCCCAAACCACUCAACUUGAGGGGAGAUGUUAAGCCAAUUUAAUAAAUUGAUUUCUUUUGGUUAAUUUGUUAGAAUCAUUUUUAUUAGAGGUUUGUUUGUACAAUUACAUCCAUUUAUCAGGAGAGUACACGUGUACAACUCCUCUUUUAAUCUCACCAUUGUAUAUAUAUGAUACACGACCUUACUCAGAAUUGCAUAACAUUUCCUCUGCUCAUUCCUUUUCUUCUUUGAAUUUUCCCUUACCUCACUGAUUUUGAUUUAUACCUGGUGUUUUCACCUUUGGUCUCUACCUUUCUAGCCAGUUUUCUAAUUAAUCCGUAUAUGGUAUACCUGUCAACUAAUGAGGAGAAAGAGAAAAGGGGAUUGCUGUUCCACCAGCUACAUAUAAUAAUUAAUUACAAUCAUGGUAAUGGAUCCUGAAAUCCAUCCUUUGUGGAUUUUGUACGGAAUAUUGUUGUUAUGUAUGUGGGCUCACUUAGAUGUAUAUUGCUAGCCUGUCUGGGAAAUGUGAUUGCAGGUCCAGAUUAUGAUGUUGAUAUUAGUGGGAUAAGCAAGAGAUGCAGUUAACACGUAUGUGAUGGACUUGAGUAACUUUUCCAUUUCAGUCCAUUUUUUAAGAUUAUGCUUAGUCUUAUUACAAGGAAAGACCAUAAGAAUCAUGAGUCAUUGGCAAGGUAAUAUCAUUCCCUCUUUACAGGCUUCUUCACCUUUUGGUUUUUUUAAUAUCCAUCAAGAUCUUUUAAUUGGAGGACAAUUACAAGUAUAUAUAUAUGUAUUAAAAGGGGAAAAUAUUAAAACAGGAAAUUUUAGGGAAAAUAUAAUAAUUAUUUCUUCCUUCUUUCCCAUAUAGAACUACACAAAAUAAAACUUUAAUAAUUUUUUCUUAUCUUUUUUAUUAUUAUUUUUUCUUAGAAACAUCCGUGGUCUCACAAGCUUGUAAUCCUAGAUUGUUAGGCUCCUUUAACAGUGCCCCAACAUCGUGGUCCAAUGACAAGCUUCCACGCCUUAAAAUCAGAAAAUGCCAUUAAACUUUAUCAGACAUUACAGUUCAAGACAAAGCUUUCAUUUGCUUAAUGUGAUAAUGAAAUUGUUAAUUUCAUUUCGUGGGCAUCUAAAUUUGGACGAGCAAGACCUCUGAAUUCCCUGUUUUUAUCACCAGCAGAGGAGAUAAAAUCUUAAUGGUGAGAAUCUCCACGUGAAAUUUAUGUGUACUGUCAACAUAUUUUUGUUUAUAUAGUCCAGUAGCUGCAGGAAGUCUAGAUUAUAUAGGUAGCAGUAGCACUAUUUAUAGCACUCGAUAUUCGCUGUAUGAAUACAUUAAACCUUGUUUUCAAUACGCAUCACAAGCAAGUACUAGAUACUACAAGGAGUGACAGUCGCAUCAACAUUUCUUGAUAAUAGCAGUGACUGAUUUAUACACAGAACAGUACUGUACACGUACCAGUCACCAGAGAUAGGAUCUUAUUCCUACAUACGACUCUUAUUGAUCGAAGUCACUCAGUUGGGGUAGCCUGGAGUUGGAGGUUUGUGUGGUGGCUUCUUCUUUGGAGGAGGCUUUAUCUUUGGAGGCAUCAUCUUUGGAGGCAUCUUGUGUGAGUCUUCUUCAGCAUUCUCUACAGGAGGAUGGCCAGGCUUAUGACCCUUAGGUGGUUUGCCAACUGGGAUUGGUGGCUUGUGUCCUGAGAGUGGCUCCUCUUCUUCGGGAGGUUUGCCAACUGACGUUGGUGGCCCGUGUCCUGGGGGUGGCUUGUGUUUUGGGGGUGGUUUCACUCCACCGGGAGGUUUACCAAUUGGUGUUGGUGGUUUGUGCUCAAUCGGUGGCCUCUCAACUGGGGGGCGCUUGGGGUAAUCAGCGAGUGAAGAAGUGGUGAGAACCACCACUCCAAGCAACAACACUAGCAAGUAUGUGGAAGACAUCUUUGAGUUUGGCUCAGAUG